rnacentral:rRNA from 1 species
UCAUGGCUCAGGAUGAACGCUGGCGGCGUGCCUAAUACAUGCAAGUCGAGCGAACAGAUAAGGAGCUUGCUCCUUUGACGUUAGCGGCGGACGGGUGAGUAACACGUGGAUAACCUACCUAUAAGACUGGGAUAACUUCGGGAAACCGGAGCUAAUACCGGAUAACAUAUUGAACCGCAUGGUUCAAUAGUGAAAGGCGGCUUUGCUGUCACUUAUAGAUGGAUCCGCGCCGUAUUAGCUAGUUGGUAAGGUAACGGCUUACCAAGGCAACGAUACGUAGCCGACCUGAGAGGGUGAUCGGCCACACUGGAACUGAGACACGGUCCAGACUCCUACGGGAGGCAGCAGUAGGGAAUCUUCCGCAAUGGGCGAAAGCCUGACGGAGCAACGCCGCGUGAGUGAUGAAGGUCUUCGGAUCGUAAAACUCUGUUAUCAGGGAAGAACAAAUGUGUAAGUAACUGUGCACAUCUUGACGGUACCUGAUCAGAAAGCCACGGCUAACUACGUGCCAGCAGCCGCGGUAAUACGUAGGUGGCAAGCGUUAUCCGGAAUUAUUGGGCGUAAAGCGCGCGUAGGCGGUUUUUUAAGUCUGAUGUGAAAGCCCACGGCUCAACCGUGGAGGGUCAUUGGAAACUGGAAAACUUGAGUGCAGAAGAGGAAAGUGGAAUUCCAUGUGUAGCGGUGAAAUGCGCAGAGAUAUGGAGGAACACCAGUGGCGAAGGCGACUUUCUGGUCUGUAACUGACGCUGAUGUGCGAAAGCGUGGGGAUCAAACAGGAUUAGAUACCCUGGUAGUCCACGCCGUAAACGAUGAGUGCUAAGUGUUAGGGGGUUUCCGCCCCUUAGUGCUGCAGCUAACGCAUUAA